GAAAUGGGGAAUGUGUCAAAGAGACAACAACCCGACCAAAUAAAAAACAACAGCAGAGGGUCACCAACAGGUCUUCAAUGUAGCGAGAAAUUCCCGCACCCGGAGGCGUCCUUCAACUGGCCCCUGAACAAAUAUAUACUAGUCCAGUGAUAAUGAACGCCAUACUAAUUUCCAAAUUGUACACAAGAAACUAAAAUUAAAAUAAUACAAG
rnacentral:lncRNA from 1 species